ACAGUGGACGCGAGCAUCUGUGGCCAAGUUUUUAAGGGCGCACGGUGGAUGCCUUGGCACCAGGAACCGAUGAAGGACGUGGGAGGCCACGAUAGUCCCCGGGGAGUCGUCAACCAGGCUUUGAUCCGGGGGUUUCCGAAUGGGGAAACCCGGCAGUCGUCAUGGGCUGUCACCCUUGYCUGAACACAUAGGGCAAGUGGAGGGAACGCGGGGAAGUGAAACAUCUCAGUACCCGCAGGAAGAGAAAACAACCGUGAUUCCGGGAGUAGUGGCGAGCGAAACCGGAUGAGGCCAAACCGUAUGCGUGUGAGACCCGGCAGGGGUUGCGCAUUCGGGGUUGUGGGAUCUCUCUUUCAUGGUCUGCCGGCCAUGAGACGAGUCAGAAACCGUUGAUGUAGGCGAAGGACAUGCGAAAGGUCCGGCGUAGAGGGUAAGACCCCCGUAGUCGAAACGUCAGCGGCUCGUUUGAGAGACACCCAAGUAGCACGGGGCCCGAGAAAUCCCGUGUGAAUCUGGCGGGACCACCCGCUAAGCCUAAAUAUUCCCUGGUGACCGAUAGCGGAUAGUACCGUGAGGGAAUGGUGAAAAGUACCGCGGGAGCGGAGUGAAAUAGUACCUGAAACCGUGUGCCUACAAGCCGUGGGAGCGUCGGAGUGGAGCUUGCUCCAUUCUCGUGACUGCGUGCCUUUUGAAGAAUGAGCCUGCGAGUUUGCGGUGUGUUGCGAGGUUAACCCGUGUGGGGAAGCCGUAGCGAAAGCGAGUCCGAAUAGGGCGAUUCAGUAGCGCGCUCAAGACCCGAAGCGGAGUGAUCUAGCCAUGGGCAGGUUGAAGCGGAGGUAAGACUUCGUGGAGGACCGAACCCACCAGGGUUGAAAACCUGGGGGAUGACCUGUGGUU
rnacentral:rRNA from 1 species